UGGGGAAUAUUGCACAAUGGGCGCAAGCCUGAUGCAGCCAUGCCGCGUGUAUGAAGAAGGCCUUCGGGUUGUAAAGUACUUUCAGCGGGGAGGAAGGCGAUAAGGUUAAUAACCUUGUCGAUUGACGUUACCCGCAGAAGAAGCACCGGCUAACUCCGUGCCAGCAGCCGCGGUAAUACGGAGGGUGCAAGCGUUAAUCGGAAUUACUGGGCGUAAAGCGCACGCAGGCGGUCUGUCAAGUCGGAUGUGAAAUCCCCGGGCUCAACCUGGGAACUGCAUUUGAAACUGGCAGGCUAGAGUCUUGUAGAGGGGGGUAGAAUUCCAGGUGUAGCGGUGAAAUGCGUAGAGAUCUGGAGGAAUACCGGUGGCGAAGGCGGCCCCCUGGACAAAGACUGACGCUCAGGUGCGAAAGCGUGGGGAGCAAACA
rnacentral:rRNA from 1 species